rnacentral:rRNA from 1 species
CCCUUAGAUGUUCUGGACAGCACGCGCGCUACAAUGGUCUUCGCAAACGGAUGCAUUCUCGAAGGAGAAUGCCAAUCUUGGAAUCUAUGCCUUGGUCGGGACAGUUGCUUGCAAUUUUUCGACUCGAACCAGGAAUUCCUUGUAAUCGUGAUUCAUCACAUCACGAUGAAUACGUCCCUGCCCUUUGUACACACCGCCCGUCGCUCCUACCGAUCGAAGAGUUAGGUGAAUUGUUUUGAUCGAUAAGAUUUGACUAUGGUCAACUCUCGUUGUGAAAUUCUCUGAAUCUGACUGUUUAGAGGAAGGAAAAGUCGUAACA